CAAUUAAAGGCACAGAAGUCCUGUCCUCUAUUGAGUCUGGCAACCCUACUCUCCUGACAGAUUAUUUGGUUGGAGGCGGAGCUACAGUGUGGAAAUAAAGGGUGAGAUUGCCCCAACUACUGUGCCCGGGGUCUCCAAUGUGGUGCGCCCAGCCCCCACUCACACUACUCCUAUGUUGUGAAAUUUGGGGGUUUUGCAGGGGGAAGACAAACACCUCCCUUGUUGAAAAAAAUCCCUGUGGUGAUGUUUGGCUGGGUGCUGUUUCUCUCCAUGCUCCCUUCUUCCAUUUUCUUUCCAUCAGCCCAAAGGAAAGGCUUCAAACUGCCUUUCCCCACAAGAUUUGUGGACCUCCCUGCCCUCCCCACUUGGCUACGCCCAUGGGUAGAGGAGAUGGGGAGGAAACGAAGCAACAGGCAGCCUUUCAUGUGAACAACUUCAAAUCCUUACCUAGUUUGGAGUGAGGCAUCACUUUUUUAUUUUUGGACUGCUGUUUUGUGCAAACAUGGUAGAUCACAAAAGGUGUAUGUGCACGUGUGAACAAAUACGCAUGGAUCUCUGGUUUUGUGGCUUGGAGCAACCCAACCAUCCAUAGACAUGGCUGCACUUUUGUGCAAAGCUGUUAGACUGAGGCCCCAGUGUUUUUCUUACAGCAGCACCCUCAUGGGUGCCUCCUUUCAUGCCCCCACCUGUGCCAGAGAAGCGGUGCCAGUAUAGGUGCUGAUUUCCUGCGAGAUCUCAUCAAAGUCUUGCAAGAUGUCAAGGAGAGCAAAAGAUCUCAUGAGAUUUGGGUGAGAUCUUGCAAGCUCUUUCAGGGAAUUGGCGCCAAAGCCAGCACUGCAGUGCUGAUGCAACAGCUUCUCCAAGUGUCCCUAUUUUCCAGGGACAUACGUGAUUUAGAGAAGCUGUCCUGGUUUCUGAUUUCAUCCUGGGAUGUCCUGCUUUUCCUUAGGAUGUUCCUAUUUUCAUUGGAUAAAUGAAUGGUAUGGAAUUAUCCGACCCCCCCCCCCGAGCCAUCUGAAGGCAAUCUUGUAUAGGGAAGGGUUUUUUUAAAAAAAAUUUAAUGUUUAGUUUAUGUUUUUUAUAUAUGUUGGAAGCUGCCCAGAGUGGCUGGGGUGACCCAGUAAGAUGUGUGGGGUAUAAAUAGUAAAAUAUCAUUAUGGAAUGGGACGUCCCUAUUUUCUUCGGAGAAAUGUUGGAGGGUUUGUGGAUCUCCCUCUUUGGAGAUGUUUACAAUGGUACCUUGGGUUACGUACUCAAUCCGUUCCGGGGUGCCGUUCACACCCCGAAAAGUACGUACCCCGAGUGUCCAUUUUGUGCAUGCGCAAAGCGCAAUAUCGCUCUUCUGCGCAUGCACAACCUGCGCAGAACAUGCGUGCGGCGAAAAAUACUUCCAGGUUUGCAGAGUACGCAACCCGAAAGUACACAACCCGAAGCAUAGUUAACCCGAGGUAUGACUGUACAGCUGGUCCCCCUGAGAUCCUGAAUUUAAUCAGUUGCUUCCUGUUUGCUGUUCACCUUAUUGUGUGAUGCUGGUUUCGAUUGCUAUUUGCCUUUUUUAUUGUGGCUUUAUGAAUACUGUUAGUCGCCUUCUUGUAGCUCUUUUAAAAACCAUAUGGGUGGUAUACAUGUGUUUUAUUUAAUGUAAUGAUUCAUGAGUAUUGGCUUAGGAGCUGUAGUCAUGCGUAGAGGUGUCACGGUCCGGUCGGCGGGCGUCGGGACCAGAGGCAAGAUGGUGGUGAAGAAGCAGGGUCGAGGAGCAAGGCAGAGGCGAAGGUCCACGGGGCACGAAGCAAGGGUCCAAGGAGCAAGAGUCAAGGCAUCGGCAAGGCAAGGGUCCACGGAGCAAGAGGCCAGAGGCAACCAGGCAGGGAAAGCGUUGCUGUGGCAAAGAGCUGAAGGGAAAUGCUGGGCUUUUAUCCCUCCCAGCUCCUGCCACCAGGUGCAGUGAGAUCUCAAGUGGCCUCACCUGGGUGACUACUCCUGGCCUCUCCAGCACAAGCUGAUGUCUUCACCUGUGUGGCCACGCCUUGCUUCCCCAGCACAAGCUGAGGCAGGCCCCAGUCCUGCAAGGCACUACAGGCCCCAGAGCCUGACUCCUGCCCAUACUCCUGACAGGAGGUGUAUGGAAAUCUGCAGUGUGAAUAUGGUAGAGAAUAUACCUUCUACAUAUUAUGCUACUAGUGUGUCCAGUGUGUGUGAGAAAAGAAUGGGAGAGUGAGAGUAUGCACUAAUAUAGCAGGUUGUGAUCUAUAAAAAUGUAUGGUGUGUGUGUGUGUGAGAGAGAGAGAGAGUGAGUGAGUGAGUGAGAGAGAGAGCGCUUAAAUGGAUAAAUGCUUUCAGCAGACAAGGUACAACCCCUUUCAUCCAUCAUAAUGGGACAUACAAAUAAACAAAGGUUUAUUUGCCAAAAGUCUCCCCAAAUAGAAAUGUGUUUUAUUUCUCCCAGAAACUUGGUCUUUAAUGCAAUGCUUUCACUUUUAAUGAAUGCUAAAGUUGCUUUUUUGCUGUAAAUAGGAUGCUGUGUAACAGGCUUUUUAAAUAGGCGGCAUAGGGAAAUUAUAAUUGCCUCCAGGUGAUCAGGUAGAAAGAUUUUCAGUGGAUGGCUAAUGGCAGAAAACCAGCCAGCCCGCAGGAGCAGCCUUUCUGUUGUAAUUAGGAAAACUGAACAGUGCUUUAUCUGCAUUGGUCCUCAGUGCAGUUGACUUGCAAGGGACAGCAUAAUUUCAGUACUUAAUUAAACACAGAAGCCAUUGAUUCAGUCCUUGAAUGGUUUUGCUGGCAGAGUCGGAAAAGAUGGCAUUUUUCUUUACUGACAUCACUUUGUAAUCUUUUCUAUGCUACUGCAAAUCACAAAUAAUGAAUUUGAUUGCACAUGGCUAAUCAGCACCCUUUAUUCCCCCCUCUCUCCCCCUCUCUCCUUUUUGGCAAAUGGAGUUACCACUAAAAUUAUCCCUUUUAGAUUAAUUAAAAUCACACCAGAAAUCCUACGGUUCCAAGUUCAGAGCCAUUUGUUUUGAAUUUUAGUAUUCCCAAUAAUUUUUGCUUGUAAAUAUGUGAGAAAUAGGCUUUUAAAAAACCUAAUAUACUACUUUUUAAUAUAAAAAUAUAUACUAUAAAGCAAUUUUUAUUGUCUCAUUUCUUGAUUAAAUUGGAAAAUUUUAUGGAAAUGUGUAUUAAAACCUUCCACUCUUAUACACUCUAAGGAUUCUCAAGCAUUUCUUUGGUAAGCCUCCCAUAGUUUCAGCAUCAAACAUUUUCCUCAAACAAUAGGGGAAAAUUUGAAAUCAGGAGAAUUUGAAAUCAAAACUUUGAAAUCAGGAGAAGUACUGUACAUGCCUUCUCCUUUUUCUCAUAUUCAGCUUCUGAAUCCAAAAAAAAGAAAGCUCACAGCAGAUAAUUUGGUUUAAGAAUGGACUUAAUCCCAUUUUGUGUAAUAUUGCGAAUGAGUGAACUGAAGGUUUAGAACCCCCACUGUGCUUAUUCACUCAUAAUUAAUAAUUUACCCUGGACAAAACAUUUGCACAACAUUCCAUGCCUUCCAAUUUCAACAUUGUUUUGUUCCCAGCCUCCGUAUUUCUGUUGACAGUCAAUGCUCUUAUGUAAAAUAUUAACCAAAUGCAUCGAGAAGGAUAAUGAUGAGUGCUGGUGUCUAACGACUUCUAGAGGGCAUUGCAUUGACUACCUCUGUUACAAGCAAACCAUGGGCAUGUGCCUUCAUUUUCUAUCUGCUUAGUAGUCCGAUCUCUAUGGCUCAGGUGGUGCAGUGGCCACAACUAAGGUUGUUGUUGUUUAGUCGUGUCCGACUCUUCGUGACUCCAUGGACCAUAGCACGCCAGGCACUCCUGUCUUGCACUGCCUCCCGCAGUUUGGUCAAACUCAUGUGUACUUCCCUUCAGAUAUCACACCAAACAUAGUUUUUGUGUGUGUUUUUUAAAAAAGGUAAAAACCUUUCAAACCAUUAGAUUAAAAAAAUCUGAUUUGCUGCCUGAUUGCUAACUUGGAAUCAUCAAUUCAGACAUGUCAAAUCGUAGUGAUGGUUUGGUGUGAUGGUUCUGUCUGUUCUACAGACUUAUAGCCAUUCAGAACUCGUCGUUUCCUGAUACAUAGGUCACGCUACCAAGAUUGCUGGAGGAAAAAGCUGAGUUAGAUCUCCCUUACAGUUACCCCAAACUGGAGUUGCUGAGAAAACCACUUCCGCGCCUGCGAUGGAGGUGGUGUUGUGGGCAGGCCUGACCGAACUCUCGCGAUGGGGGCUGAGAGCUCAGCCCCUUCGCGAUUGGCCGUUCCCGCCUCCAUCAACCCCAGGCCGACCAAUGAGGUCGUCUGGGGGCGGGGCUUGUCACCUUCAAAACAGCAUGGAGGCGGGGCAUAAGAAGAAGCGGGGCAGGUUACGUCAUCACCUACCCAGCAAAUGGAGAAGUAUUCCGUUAAAGGUUUCUGGGGGCGGAGCUUUGUCCUGAACCUGGAGAGGUCAGGGUGGUCACAGGAGGUGUUCCGGUAGAUGUACACCACUGGGCUCCUUUCUGGUGGCUAAUUUCUCCCAGACUCCAACACACGGGUUGGUGUCAGAUGUAGUCGGUUAGGUUCCAGUGCCUAAGCCAAAACCGCUCAACAUCCGUAACCAAUAAAGUUGUGGCCUUAUUUGCCCACUUAAAAUCUAUCAUUUGUGUCUUGUGUCUUAUUCUCACGGGGAGGGAGGGACAUCGCCACACAAGUAAUGGGAGGCCAACUUAUAUGUGUUGAAAUGUGGAGAAAGUAUUGGGCUAGAGCAGGCAUCCCCAAACUUCGACCCUCCAGCUGUUUUGGACUACAGUUCCCAUCAUCCCUGACCACUGGUCCUGUUAGCUAGGGAUCAUGGGAAUUGUAGGCCAAAACAUCUGGAGGGUCGCAGUUCGAGGAUGCCUGGGAUAGAGCAUCACCUAGGGUGAUGCAGGAACUGGUGGCUAGGCUGGAGGUAAGCAGGGUCUGUAAUAAUUUUAGAUGUCAGAAAUUAUUCCACCUUUUGAGAAGCACAAUGCAACUUUUGAUAGGAAAUUAUUUGAUAGAUCAGCCUUAAAACUUUCUCUGUGGGCAUCUUUUUGCACCUAGGCAUCAGUGAAAAGUGUUAUUAUAAACGCCAUCAUUAGUAAUGGGUGACUAUCUCAUUCAAUUUGCUAUGUAUGUCCCCCUUUUUAAAUUAAACUCAUUUACAGUAUGUAGGACCUUGAUUUAUUUGUUUUCAGUCCAGUCCUUUGUGGAUCUGUAAAAUCCUGCCACAACCUUCCUCCUCCCUGCUGGGAACUUUGAGGAUCUCCCUCUCCUUCUGCCACCCACUACAUGGCCAUGGAAGUAUCAACAUGUUGUUGUAGCAGCAAUGAUUUAAGCCCUAGAAGGCAGCAGGAACAGUAAUUCAGGAUCCAGGGCUGCUAGACUUAGUGUUUUCUAAUGUUUCUGGGUCUGCAGUCCUGAAAAAUUGCAAUUAUCAGCACUUCUUGUGCCCAGGAUUCUGGUGUAGAACAUUAAUGGUUGUCAAGAUGACCAGGAAUGGCUGUUUCUUUGGGCCCUUGGAUCCUUACUAAUGAGUUAGAAACUUUUGGAAGCUGCAACACCCACCAGUAAUAUCAGUUACAGUUAAGGCUGGAUAGCUUUGGAAAUGCUAGUCUUGGUAUGGAGGUCUUUAAAGCAGUGACAGCUAUUUUAUACGAUUAAGCAUUAUGAAGAAUCAGGCCUUUCUUAUCUCCCCCCCCCCAAAAUCUGCUGACUUAAUAAAGAAACGACUUAAAAUGACGCUGAUUAUAGCUGACACAUGUUAAAUAUGGCUGUCCCAUGCCAGUUUUAGCUUUACUGUUAUACCCUUAGUGAUUUAAUUUGUGUAGCUUAGAAUAGAUUUGUCUCCAUGCAUGCUGCUGUAGGAGUAAAAGUGUUCCCAAUUAGAAAUCUGGAGGUGGUAUGCCUGGAGAGAGGAAAAACCCAGAAUUUGAGAUUGAAAUAAUUCAAGGCCCGAACCCUUUUAUUUAAGCUGCUGUGUUUGUAAUGAUGGCGGGGAGUGGAUUGUUGUUCUGUUUAUGUUCCUUUCACAGUAAACUGCUUACUAAGAGUUACAAAACUUUCAUUUUGGGGGGGGGAGUUAUAAAUUUGAUAAAGAAGUCUUUAAGCUAUUUAUUCAUUUAACCAUGGUAGUUGUUACUUCUUGCCCUUCUGGUUUCAGGCAGGGGAGCAAUUUCUGAAAUGCCAUUCUCAGGUUUUCCCAGUGUGAUGGAGAUAGAGUCUGUCUGCUAGCACUCUUUGCCGUUACACAAAUCAAAACCAAAAGGGGGAAAGUAUGGCGUUCAGGCAAGAGGUUGAAGCAAAACCUCCUUUCUCACACAGCAAUUUAUUUAUUUCAGAUUGUUUUUAACCCCCUCAUCACCCAUCCCAACCCAAUAAAAAUACCUGGGCAAAUAAACAGAUGUCAAAUGUGCCAGUGCUUGGUGUAUUUCCAGGGGGAAGGGACAGUGAGAGGGGAACCCCUUCCCCCAAGUUCUAAUGACAAUCUGGAACUAAUGGAGUGGGGAGUUAUAACCCUCUGCAUCUGGGAUGAAAUGGACCACCUUGAGAAGCUCUUUUUCCAAAGCCCCACUGUAGCUGCAGUCCUUCUUAUUGCUCCGUAAACUGCCCUUGAAACUUUUGGCUGCAGUUCAAGGAGAUGUAUUGGAAAAAAUAGAAUGUGGAGAAGCCCCAUGACAUGUGCAGAAGCUUCUUUGGAGUUUGAUAAGACACCUCCUGUGAAGCAAAGAGGACAGUUUGUCUCCCAAAGGAGUCAAGUUUAUGCUGGGGGUUGUAAUUGGGUGAGAGACUGCUCUAUUCUCAGGAAGCUGUGUGUUACCUCUGGUCACAGGAACUAUCCCUUUGUUUACGUUGGGAACUUCCCGGACAUAUACAGGAUUCAUCUGCUUGAAAAUAGCAUCCGGGCGGAAACUCAGGUGUAUGGCAACGCAUGACUCAGAAGUGUUGGGUUUUUUGGAGAAUUUCCUUUUAAAAAAGCUCAUUUUUUAUCUUUUUGUUGUUGCUGAGAUAUUGCAAAAGAAGCUCAACAACUUUGCUCAACAACUUUUUUGAAAUAUAGCAACCCUACUUUAGUUAGCAAUACAAAUGGGUUCAAGUUCCAUUAAAUUAUAUAUCUCUCUGUAAUACUUACUUUAUUUUACUUAUUUCAAAAAAUUAUUAUGCCUCUGAAUGAAAACAACAACAACAACCCUAAAUUGUUCUGAGAAUUAUAAGGUCUAAGAUAUAAAAUAAAUGUACCAGGCAAACAAACAAAGAAACAAACAAACCACAUGUCUGAAACAGUAGAGGAAAAAAGUCCUGAAACCAUUUUGUCUCUCCCAAAUUGACCUCAAAUGUUUCUCUGCAAGGACAAAGGAAAUGGGAAAACCUCCCCGUUGUCUCUUUGCUCCACAAAUCCUGUCUUAAGGGCCUAUCUGUGUAUGAACAGGGUGAGCCUGUGAAUUAAGUAUUUAUCGUCACUCUCGAAGUAACCCCAUCAACAGGUUUCCUGCCAGACGGCCCCUUCUGUGAUGUAUGUAUGAUGUAAUGGGGGGUGGUCUAGAGCUGGAGGGUGGGAAUUUCAAUAGUCUAUAUAGAACAGGCAUCCCCAAACUGUGGCCCUCCAGAAGUUUUGGCCUACAACUCCCAUGAUCCCUAGCUAACAGGACCAGUGGUCGGGGAAGAUGGGAGUUGUAGUCCAAAACAUCUGGAGGGCCGAAGUUUGGGGAUGCCUGAUAUAGGAGUUUGCACCCCAUUGUUGGGGUUCCUCCUCCCUCCUGCAUGUGGUGAGUGAGGACCCUGUUGCAACAGUUAAUAAAGGUCAGUUAAUAAAGGUAUUAGCUGCAUUGCUUCUCAAUAUUCUCUGGUUGGCCUCUGUUAUUUUCUCCUACCAAUAGAGAACCUACAAAAGGACUCUAUAUGGGCUCUUGGGUACCCCAUAAGGGAAAAGGAGCAUUUCUCUCCCCCCUCAUAACAAAACCAACCCUAAAGCACUGUCUUCUUUGAUAUGACAUUGUAACAUCACACAGUUGGUAGGAUACGUUUGUAUUAUCUCAGUGGUGCAGCAGCUCUUCAGGCACUUCCUUAGUUUGAGGGGCGGUCUUGCUAUGGGAUUUAAACGAGUGCACUUAAUCCGACUGCUUUUAUUUUUGGAGGAAAAAAAACAGUUGCAGGCCCUGAUAGCACAACAUGUUCUUGAUCUAGAAGGGGCCCUUCAAGGUUUUCUCCUAGCUAAUUAUUAUGGUUGAAAGUUUUCCUUAAUGUAGACAGUACUUUUUGGGGGGAGGGGUUGCAAAUAUAAAAGCCAGGAAUUUUUAGUUUUGCAUCAGAGUUCCACACCAGUUUUUUUUCCACCAAAGUGAAAGCAUAGUGGUUAAGCAUUCUUUUGAUCCUGACUUUAAUGUUAAAUUUUCUGUGUCCGUAGGCCUGUUACAAAAAGAAUGAGCAACUCUUACCCUCUAAAGCAGGCGUCAGCAAACUUUUUCAGCAGGGGGCCGGUCCACUGUCCCUCAGACCUUGUGGGGGGCCGGACUGUAUUUUGAAAAAAAGAAAUGAACGGAUUCCUAUGCCCCACAAAUAACCCAGAGAUGCAUUUUAAAUAAAAGAACACAUUCUACUCAUGUAAAAACACGCUGAUUCCCGGACUGUCCAUGGGCUGGAUUGAGGAGACAAUUGGGCUGGAUCUGGCCCCCGGGCCUUAGUUUGCCUACCCAUGCUCUAGAGUACACCUGGGGAGACUGUCCUCCAGGCCUAGUUAGGCCCAGCAGGCAUCUUCAUUUGGCCCACAAGCCACACCCACUGGCGGAGGAAGAGGAGUGGGGGGGAGCGCACCGCCCCCGGCAGUGCGAUCCCAGCAGGAUGCCAUUGCGGCUGCCCCCCCCCCUGCCCAUGCUGGGUACCCUGCCCCUUCAGGCAGCACACCCCGGCCCCAGGACGUGUGCCAUGCUACGCCCCCGCCUGCUCUCCGCCACUGGCCACAUCCUGCAUCACCCCCGACAUAUGUCAAGUGAGUGGUUUGUAUUGAAGCUGCUUGCAAAUUAACUUCAAACAAGAGCUCCUUUCAAGUUGUCACCUGGCAUUCUAAUAGCAUCAGGUGAUUAACAGUCAGGUGACCACUUUUCAUAUGCAUUUUCCACACCUGCUCUAGAGCCUGAAUUAAUUUGUGUUGCAAGAAUUGCACCUAAGGGAUUGAUGUGACUGACUUUAUUAAAGAUGCUUGCUUGGAGUCUGCUGUUUUAUUUCAUAUUUAUCUUUCUCUCUUAGUUAUGAAAGCAACUGGACAUUUGAAUGAACGUUUAAUUCACAUCAUUCAUAGUGAGGUUGGCGGAAAGCCCUUUGCUUUCGAAGCCUCUCUAUAUUCCUGACUCUGUGAACAAACAAGUAGAGCAAACA